rnacentral:SRP_RNA from 1 species
GCUGGGCGUGGUGGCGUGCGCCUGCAAUCCAGCUACUUAAAGGGCGGGUGGCGGAAGCCGUUGUCGCCGGCAGUUCCACACUGCACCUGCGCAUGUGGAUCGGGCAUCCACGCCAAGCGCGGCGUUGGUAUGGAAAUCAUGCCGGAGGACAGUAGUGUCCAGGUCGUCUAUGGAGGGGUGCAUCGGGCCAGGGGGAAACCCAGCAGCCAAGAGCUCCCACGUGGUGCAGUGGUGGGAUCGCGCCUGUGAAUAGCGGGUGCAGGAUGGCCCGAAGGACGUGCGGUGACCUCCACUCU